AGAUUAGUACCAUUGAGUCCUGAUAGUAAAACUAAAUGCUACGACGAAAAUGCAGACGGUCAGACCAUGACCGAAGCUAUAACUACAGUUUUUGUACAGAAAUAUAAAGACGCAAGAAGAGUUUACGCUGAAAUAUAUCACAUUAAAUCAAACUUCGUUUACGAACAAGGCAAUGAAAGCAAGGAAAAGUUUGGGCAUCAUCGGAAUCCUUCAAUAUUGUCCAAGUUUUUGUGCGAAUUCUAUGCAGAGGUGGGUGUGGCGCCUUCUUCUGUGGAGUAUGUUGAAGGAUUUGGAGCAGCUAUACCCGACGUUGACAAAGCUGAACUGCAAACACUAGAAGAGGUAUUCUGCAGUGAUCGCCAAAAGCCAUUACUGGUUGGAAGUGUUACAUCCAACAUGGGGUUUGCGGGAGAAGCUUCUGGCCUGUGUGGU